UACGGAGGGUGCAAGCGUUAUCCGGAUUCACUGGGUUUAAAGGGUGCGUAGGCGGGUAAGUAAGUCCGGGGUGAAAUCUCUGAGCUUAACUCAGAAACUGCCGUGGAUACUAUUUGCCUUGAAUAUUGUGGAGGUGAGCGGAAUAUGUCAUGUAGCGGUGAAAUGCUUAGAUAUGACAUAGAACACCAAUUGCGAAGGCAGCUCACUACACAAUCAUUGACGCUGAGGCACGAAAGCGCGGGGAUCAAACAGG
rnacentral:rRNA from 1 species